UAUAUACUCCAUCCGUCCAAAAAUACUUGUCAUCAAAAUGGAUAAAAGGAGAUGGAUGUAGAUGUAUUUUAGUUUUAGAUACAUCUUUUUUUAUCUAUUUUGAUGGCAAGUACUUUCGGACGGAGGAAGUACCUA
rfam:Triticum aestivum genome assembly, contig: Triticum_aestivum_CS42_TGACv1_scaffold_404276_5BL